rnacentral:snRNA from 1 species
AUCUUUGCGCUUGGGGCAAUGACGCAGUUAGUGAGGUGAAACCGAGACGCGUCAAUUGCUGGUUGAAAACUAUUUCCAUUCCCAUUUCCAUUUUCUAAUAGCACCUAAUCUGUCGAAUAUUUGACGGUCCCGCGGUUUCUGAACUUAUCUACUGGAUGGACGUCCUCCUACCCUCGGGA